rnacentral:snRNA from 1 species
GUUCACCCAUUAACACAUUCUAGAAUUGGCACAACACAGAGAAGAAUGGCGUGGGCUCUGCACAGGGAUGACACGUAAAUUCGUGAAUUGUUCCAAAAUUGU